rnacentral:rRNA from 1 species
GAUGAACGCUGGCGGCGUGCCUAAUACAUGCAAGUCGAGCGAACGGACGAGAAGCUUGCUUCUCUGAUGUUAGCGGCGGACGGGUGUGUAACACGUGGAUAACCUACCUAUAAGACUGGGAUAACUUCGGGAAACCGGAGCUAAUCCCGGAUGAUCUUUUGAACCGCAUGGUUCAAAAGUGAAAGACGGUCUUGCUGUCACUUAUCGCUGGAUCCGCGCUGCUUGAGCUAGUUGGUAAGGUAAUGGCUUACCAAGGCAACGAUGCAUAGCCGACGUGUGAGGCUGAUCGGCCACACUGGAACUGGACCACGGACCAGGCUCCUACGGGAGGCAGCAGAAGGGAAUCUUCCGCAAUGGGCGAAAGCCUGGCAGAGCGGCGCCGCGUGUGUGAUGGAGGUCUUCGGAUCGGAAAGCUCUGUUAUGAGUGGAAAACAUAUGUGGAAGUAACUGUGCACAGCUUGACGGUACCGAAUCAGAAAGCCACGGCUAACUACGUG